rnacentral:rRNA from 1 species
UAGUCCACGCCCUAAACGAUGUUUACUCGAUGCUUGUCACUAGAUGAGCAUCCAAGGGAAACCGUUAAGUAAACCACCGGGGGAGUACGGUCGCAAGAUUAAAACUCAAAGGAAUUGACGGGGGCCUGCACAAGCGGUGGAGCAUGUGGUUUAAUUCGACGCAACGCGCAGAACCUUACCAGCUUUUGACAUCCUGGUCGCGGAUUUGGGAGACCAUUUCCUUCAGUUCGGCUGGACCAGUGACAGGUGCUGCAUGGCUGUCGUCAGCUCGUGUCGUGAGAUGUUGGGUUAAGUCCCGCAACGAGCGCAACCCUCAUCCUUAGUUGCCAGCAUUUAGUUGGGCACUCUAAGGAAACUGCCGGUGAUAAGCCGGAGGAAGGUGGGGAUGACGUCAAGUCCUCAUGGGCCCUUACAAGCUGGGGCUACACACGUGCUACAAUGGCGAUGACAGUGAGCAGCUAACCCGCGAGGGCAAGCUAA